rnacentral:tRNA from 1 species
GGAGAGGUGCCAGAGUGGCCGAUUGGGCCGGUCUCGAAAACCGGAGUAGGGGCAACCCUACCGUGGGUUCGAAUCCCACCCUCUCCG